UACAGAGGGUGCGAGCGUUAAUCGGAAUUACUGGGCGUAAAGCGUGCGUAGACGGUUAUGUAAGUCGGGUGUGAAAGCCCCGGGCUCAACCUGGGAAUUGCAUUCGAGACUGCAUAGCUAGGAUGCGGAAGAGGGAAGCGGAAUUUCCGGUGUAGCGGUGAAAUGCGUAGAUAUCGGAAGGAACAUCAGUGGCGAAAGCGGCUUCCUGGUCCAGCAUCGACGGUCAGGCACGAAAGCGUGGGGAGCAAACAGG
rnacentral:rRNA from 1 species